rnacentral:rRNA from 1 species
UACGAGGGGGCAAGCGUUGUUCGGAAUUAUUGGGCGUAAAGGGCGCGUAGGCGGUGCGGUAAGUCACCUGUGAAACCUCUAGGCUCAACCUAGAGCCUGCAGGCGAAACUGCCGUGCUUGAGGGUGGGAGAGGUGCGUGGGAAUUCCCGGUGUAGCGGUGAAAUUCGUAGAUAUUCGCAAGAACACCAGUGGCGAAGGCGGCUCACUGGCCCGAUACUGACGCUGAGGCACGAAAGCGUGGGGAGCA